GCUGUCAUAAAUAUCAGUCAUUCAGAAAAAUAUAAAGGAUAUAAAAUAAAAGAUAUUUAAUAAAAUGUCUGUCUUCAGCCCCAGGACCGAGGCGUUGAGGUGGCGUGACUGGCGUGAAUUCGGCGUGCCCUGUCUGCAAUCCUGCCUUUCAGUAAGGGGCAGUAAGGACAAGAUCCACCCACCACCCAGUGCAUGCUACAUAUGUGUGUGUAAUAAAUUGAGAGGGAAAGUGUGUGUGAUAAAUGAAAUUUAAUAAAGUAAGUAAAAUUUUGAA